UUGGGCUUAAAGUGUGCGUAGGCGGUGAGUUAAGUCUGCCCGUGAAAAUCCCCUGGGGCUCAACCUGGGAACUGCGGUAGAUACUGGCUUGCUGGAGUAUGGGAGAGGGUGAUGGAAUUCCAGGUGUAGCGGUGAAAAUGCGUAGAGAUCUGGAGGAACAUCAGUGGCGAAGGCGGUCACCUGGCCCAAUACUGACGCUGAGGCGCGAAAGCGUGGGGAGCAAACAGGAUUAGAUACCCGCGUA
rnacentral:rRNA from 1 species